AUUGCCUCAGUAACGGCGAGUGAAGCGGCAACAGCUCAAAUUUGAAAUCUGGCUCCUUCGGGGUCCGAGUUGUAAUUUGCAGAGGAUGCGUCGGGUACGGGUCCCUACCGAGUUCCCUGGAACGGGACGCCAUAGAGGGUGAGAGCCCCGUCUGGUAGGAUACCCAGCCCAUGUGACGCUCCCUCGACGAGUCGAGUAGUUUGGGAAUGCUGCUCUAACGGGAGGUAUACUCCUUCCAAAGCUAAAUACCGGCUGGAGACCGAUAGCGCACAAGUAGAGUGAUCGAAAGAUGAAAAGCACUUUGAAAAGAGAGUCAAACAGCACGUGAAAUUGUUAAAAGGGAAGCACUCGCUACCAGACUUGGGUUUGGCGGUUCAACCGGGGCCACGCCCCGGGGCAUUCCGCCAGCUCAGGCCAGCAUCAGCUUUCCGUCGGGGGCAAAGACGUCGGGAAUGUGGCUCCCCCUCGGGGGAGUGUUAUAGCCCGGCGUGUCAUACCCUUCGGGGGGCUGAGGUACGCGCUUCUGCAAGGAUGCUGGCGUAAUGGUAGCUAGUGACCCGUCUUGAAACACGGACCAAGGAGUCAACCUUAUGUGCGAGUGCCCGGGCGUAAAACCCCAGCGCGGAAUGAAAGUGAACGUAGGUGAGAGCUUCGGCGCAUCACCGACCGAUCCUGAUGUCCUCGGACGGAUUUGAGUGAGAGCAUAUAGGGUUGGACCCGAAAGAAGAUGAACUAUGCGUGUGUAGGGUGAAGCCAGAGGAAACUCUGGUGGAGGCUCGCAGCGGUUCUGACGUGCAAAUCGAUCGUCAAACAUGCGCAUGGGGGCGAAAGACUA
rnacentral:rRNA from 1 species